rnacentral:misc_RNA from 1 species
GUUUAAUGAAAGAAGAAAAGUUAAAGUUAUAUCUUGUACAAUUGCGCAAUGAUUUAAUGAAUCCUGAUAUUUUAUGCUAUAUCGCUUAAAGACAAUGAUGAAAAGCAAUGGGGAAAAAAUUACUCAAAAUGCUGUUUGUAUAGGAUAUUGCAGGGCAUUGGUUGAGUCCAUUUCCAAAUCAAUAUUGAGUUUAAUAUAGGGCAUUACUUGAAUCAAAAUCAAAGAAGGAUUUUUUGAAUACUUGUUAAAUAAGUUAGUGAUUAUUAUAUUUAUCUUUU